UACAUUUCUUUCUUCUUCAGAAUUUAACUCCUAAAAGAUUUUAAGGCAUUCUAAUUGCAACAUAUAAUGAGCUUCUUAGAUAUUCAGCUUGGUCAAUGCUUUAAAGAAUCUGAGGAUCUAUGCUGGAAAAAAGAAUUGGCAGAAGACAAGACCUGGAAUGAUGGACAAACAGAAUUUGUGAGAGAACAUUUCUCAAUGGCUGGAAAAGUGUUUGAGACAAGUGACCCAGCUGGCUGACCCAAAGUGGUUGCCCAUGCCAGCACAUGAUGUAUCACUAGGAAGACCAAAACAUUUUGCAAGGAACAAUAUGCCUUGGGUAAAAUGAAAUGUUUGAUAUUAAAGGUACCAUCUUGACCUUGGUGAAUUUCAGCAACACCUUCAAGAACUCGUUUGUUCUACAUUUGUGGAUUGGCAAAAGCAUGAGCAGAAGCAGCUUAUCCAGUGGAAAAUUUUUGCCUUCUGCAUCUGCAGCAGUAUAAUUCUCAGUGCAAUCAAAAUUUCUCUGAUGCUGGUUUUAUACUGGCUGAAGGAGACUCACUUCACAUGAUUACUUUGCUCAAUUUGAAGAAUGAAGAACCAAGGGAAAAGAUCUCACUACAGCUGUGCAUCCGAAAUCCUCCCGUGAGAAGAACUCCAUGUACCACAGAAACUCGAGGGGAAAGGAGGCUUUGCCCAUGAGUCAGGAGCAGAAGUUGCCUGUGGCUCCCAGGAAUGGCAGUGACCCAG